GACGAACGCUGGCGGCGUGCCUAAUACAUGCAAGUAGAACGCUGAAGGAGGAGCUUGCUCUUCUGGAUGAGUUGCGAACGGGUGAGUAACGCGUAGGUAACCUGCCUGGUAGCGGGGGAUAACUAUUGGAAACGAUAGCUAAUACCGCAUAAUAUUGACUAUUGCAUGAUAGUCAAUUGAAAGGUGCAAAUGCACCACUACCAGAUGGACCUGCGUUGUAUUAGCUAGUUGGUGGGGUAACGGCUCACCAAGGCGACGAUACAUAGCCGACCUGAGAGGGUGAUCGGCCACACUGGGACUGAGACACGGCCCAGACUCCUACGGGAGGCAGCAGUAGGGAAUCUUCGGCAAUGGACGGAAGUCUGACCGAGCAACGCCGCGUGAGUGAAGAAGGUUUUCGGAUCGUAAAGCUCUGUUGUAAGAGAAGAACGAGUGUGAGAGUGGAAAGUUCACACUGUGACG
rnacentral:rRNA from 1 species